rnacentral:lncRNA from 1 species
GCUUCACUUCCUCUGCAGUUUCCUGGAGCUGCCUUGCUCCGCCUCAGGGAAUUUGCUGGGAGAGGCUCUCCAGCAUCCAGAUCCCCCUGCAAAGGUGUUUCGCGAUCUGCAGGAACAGGCCCCAGGAGCAUCCCUUGGGGCCGAAUGUGCAGUGGGCGAUGCCCCUCCUGACCCAACAGAUCCAAGACGAGCAUGAUCAAUACAGUCUUGUGGCCAGCCUUGACAAUGUUAGGAAUCUCUCCACUAUCUUAAAAGCUAUUCAUUUCCGAAAAUGUGCUGUGUGUUUCGCAACUAAAAAUGGAAUCAAAGUAACAAUGGAAAAUGCAAAGUGUGUGCAAGCAAAUGCUUUUAUUCAGGCUGGAAUAUUUCAAGAGCUUAAAGUUCAGGAAGAGUCUGUUACUUUUUGAAUUAAUUUCAUUGUCCUUUUAGACUGUUUAUCUAUUUUUGGAUCAAGUCCUAUGCCAGGGACUUGAACUGCACUUCGGAUGUGUUACCAAGGUUAUGGUUACCCUUUGAUGCUGUUCCUGGAAGAAGAAGGAGUGGUGGCAGUCUGCAAAAUCAAUACACAGGAACCUGAAGGGACCUGGACUUUAAUUUCUACAGCACUAAUGUUAUUGAUAAAAUUCUGCAGUCAGAAGGGCUCUGUGAAGCUUUUUCUGAAUUGGAUAUGACGAGUGAGGUCCUACAAAUUACCAUGUCUCCUGACAAGCCUUAUUUCAGGUUAUCUACUUUUGGAAAUGUAGGAAGUUCCCACCUUGACCGCCCCAAAGAUUCUGAUUUGAUGGAAGCAUUAUAAUCAGACCCAGGUCAACAGAUGCAAGAUUUCCUUACUGAAACCCUCUACAAAGGCAUUAGUCCUGUCUUGUCACGUAUCUACUCGGACAGAUAACCGAGGCUUCCUUUCAUUACAGUAUAUGAUUAGAAAUGAAGAUGGACCAAUAUAUUUUGUGGAAUAUUACUGCUGCCCUGAUGAAGAAGUUCUUUAAUCUGAGUCUUGAGUAUGACGAUUCACUGAUAUUUAUGUGUACAUUGAUGAUAGAUGAAGUUCUCAUUCUGAGUACGUACUCUUUAUAAUUUCAUAUUGUAUUUCCUAUAGAGAAGAAGCAUGGGGAAGAUAGAAACAAGGUCUGUGUACCCUAAUAGUUGCUAUGUGUUUUGUAAAUACAUUUUGUAAAGGGCAUGUAAAUAAAUGUUUUCAUGUAGUCAUAAAUUAUUCAGGACUGUCCUGUAGUUCUGUCUUUUGAACUCAUG